AGUGAACGCUGGCGGUAGGCCUAACACAUGCAAGUCGAACGGCAGCACAGGAGAGCUUGCUCUCUGGGUGGCGAGUGGCGGACGGGUGAGGAAUACAUCGGAAUCUACUCUGUCGUGGGGGAUAACGUAGGGAAACUUACGCUAAUACCGCAUACGACCUACGGGUGAAAGCAGGGGACCUUCGGGCCUUGCGCGAUUGAUUGAGCCGAUGUCGGAUUAGCCAGUUGGCGGGGUAAAGGCCCACCAAGGCGACGAUCCGUAGCUGGUCUGAGAGGAUGAUCAGCCACACUGGAACUGAGACACGGUACAGACUCCUACGGGAGGCAGCAGUGGGGAAUAUUGGACAAUGGGCGCGAGCCUGAUCCAGCCAUACCGCGUGGGUGAAGAAGGCCUUCGGGUUGUAAAGCCCUUUUGUUGGGAAAGAAAUCCAGCUGGCUAAUACCCGGUUGGGAUGACGGUACCCAAAGAAUAAGCACAGGCUAACUUCGUGCCAGCAGCCGCCGUAA
rnacentral:rRNA from 1 species